UCUUUCAAUCUUAACUCUAAUGCUACAGAGUCUAAUUACGGUUAAGAAUGGAAUCGUGGGGGAGAAAAAAUAAUUUUCCCUCUACCCUUCUGAGUUCUUAACUGAGGUCCCAGCAAUAAAAGACUGAUUUAUAAGAGAAAAGUGAACAGAAGUUCAGUAGCACGUAUACCUCAUGUAAACAAUGAACAUAACCCGGAAAAAUGAGUAACUCAAAGAAGUGGCUUUGGAAUUCAGGAUUGUAUACCAUCGUGUAGAGAAAGGGAGAUAUAGGCCUCUUAGGAGAGAGUAAAUGAUAUUUAGGAAGGAUAAAUGGACCCAUAGACGACUAGGUGAGAGUAUGAUAGUUUGCGACAAACUUGGAGUGUAACGUAGACUUCUAGUCUCCUCUCCUGUGGUAAGGGUCAAUCCUCCCUAAUUGAUGAAACUGCCCAGGAGGGGCUUCAUGACAAUGGAGUUCCUUUUGGAGGAUUUAUCUUUAGGCAGAUGAGGGGAGUUCAGAGAAAGCCUCUCCCUGCAUUUGCUGUUUUUCCGGUGCCUACAGCUCAAAAUGAUCAAUAACCGAAGCAGAAUGUUUGGGGGUGACACAUUCCGCUACCCUUCAGAAUCCUGCCAUAAGCCUCUGUCCAGUUGGCAGUGUUCCUAACGCAGCUCAGGUCAUGGCAACAGCCCUACCAAGUUGGCUGGUAGUGACCACAGUUAAGUUUUGGGCUAGGAAAGAGAAAUAUUUGGCUAGUCAAUUAAAACCGAGAAAGCUGGUUAACUCUGAAGGCCUCAGCUCAUCCAACUGAGAGCAGAUUAGCCCAGAUGGAGACAUUUUCAACACGGUGCUGUCUGGCCAAUCAGAGACAGCUGGGAUUAGCCAAAUACCUUCUCUCAUCUGCUUGCUCACAGAAAGGCCAACAUAUUCAAAGUCCAAAUAAUGUAUUUCUUCAAAAGUGACCAUUCUGGCUAAUAUGAUCCACUCUUACCUGGCGCCCACGAAUUGGCCUUCUCUCUUCACCUCCACUCUGGAUUUCGACCUGAAGUUUGAC